UUCGAGCGUCAUUUCACCAAUCGAGCCCCGCUCGGUGUUGGGCGACGCGGCCUCGGCCGCGCGCCCCAAUGUCUCCGGCUGAGCCGUCCCGUCUCGAAGCGUCGUGGCAACAUCCGCUUGCGAGCUCGGGGGGUUCGACGCCGUUAAACCUCUCACACCAGGUUGACCUCGGAUCAGGUAGGGAUACCCGCUGAACUUAA
rnacentral:misc_RNA from 1 species